AGUUGCUUUAUGACGCCGGGCGCGUGCGCAUUUAAAACAAUUCUCGAAAGAAAUGUUCACAAAUUAGUUUAAAUUCGAAAACGUUUCGGUAUGGACGCAAGAAAAAGGAAUUCUAAGAAAUAGAAAUUCUAAGCGAAACAACAACGAAAAAGGAAAAUAAUUUAAAUAGGGAUAAUAAUAUACAAAAACAUAACAACAAAAACACAACGGUAUUAAGGAAUCUGUUUCAGAAUUUCAGUGAGUUAAAUCUGUUAAAAAGUUCUGCGGUUAAUUUGUUUGUUUCUUUAACAAAAAACGUAAUCUAAUAUUUUAAUUAUUAUCAUCAGCUCAGCAGCAGUGUAGAAUAUAUUGGCCUAAAAUACUAGAUAUUUUAUGUUAAUAUAUUAAAUUCGAGUGACUUACGUCACCCAAGAUUUUGUACAUUUUCAAGCGAGCAUUGGACUGGGUGUUAAUUAUUUCUAUGCCGGUUUGCUGCAAGUAUUUGUUGUCAUUGAUCAAUUAGCUUCCUAGCUUUCAAGCGAACGGUCGUGUUUUUUUUUUGCGCUCCGAUUCCUAUUUUGUGUUUGUCAAACCAGCCAAGUGUCCCGUCUCUAGGUCUCCCGCACUGGUGUAAGGGGCGGCCUGCCUCUCACACUUGUUGUUGUUUCGAAUUCUUAAAUCAAAUCGGCAGUAU
rnacentral:lncRNA from 1 species